GAUGAACGCUAGCGGCAGGCUUAAUACAUGCAAGUCGAGGGGCAGCAUGAGUGUAGCAAUACAUUUGAUGGCGACCGGCAAACGGGUGCGGAACACGUACACAACCUUCCUAUAAGUGGGGAAUAGCCCAGAGAAAUUUGGAUUAAUACCCCGUAACAUAAUGAUGUGGCAUCACAUUAUUAUUAUAGCUUCGGCGCUUAUUGAUGGGUGUGCGGCUGAUUAGAUAGUUGGCGGGGUAACGGCCCACCAAGUCUACGAUCAGUAGCUGAUGUGAGAGCAUGAUCAGCCACACGGGCACUGAGACACGGGCCCGACUCCCACGGGAGGCAGCAGUAAGGAAUAUUGGUCAAUGGACGCAAGUCUGAACCAGCCAUGCCGCGUGAAGGAUUAAGGUCCUCUGGAUUGUAAACUUCUUUUAUCUGGGACGAAAAAAGGCUAUUCUUAGUCACUUGACGGUACCAGAUGAAUAAGCACCGGCUAACUCCGUGCCAGCAGCCGCCGUAAUAC
rnacentral:rRNA from 1 species